UGCCAGCAGCCGCGGUAAUACGAAGGGACCUAGCGUAGUUCGGAAUUACUGGGCUUAAAGAGUUCGUAGGUGGUUGAAAAAGUUGGUGGUGAAAUCCCAGAGCUUAACUCUGGAACUGCCAUCAAAACUUUUCAGCUAGAGUAUGAUAGAGGAAAGCAGAAUUUCUAGUGUAGAGGUGAAAUUCGUAGAUAUUAGAAAGAAUACCAAUUGCGAAGGCAGCUUUCUGGAUCAUUACUGACACUGAGGAACGAAAGCAUGGGUAGCGAAGAGGAUUAGAUA
rnacentral:rRNA from 1 species